rnacentral:rRNA from 1 species
GACGAACGCUGGCGGCGUGCUUCAUACAUGCAAGUCGAACGAAAAGCUGACUCUGUUGUGGGGAGCGUGGCGGGCGGGCGGGUGAUUUGUACGUAAGUUACCUUCAGGUGGGGGAGAACAGACGGCAACUUAUUCUAACACCUAACAUGAGCGUACCUGAGCUGCUAUUCUUGAGAACUCCGGUGGCUGGGGGUGGGCCUGCAUCUGGUUAGUUAGUUGGUAGUGUAGGGGUAUACCAAGGCGACGAUGGGUAGCUGGCUUGAGAGGAUGAUGGGCCACAUUGGGACGGAGAUACGGCCCAGCCUCCUACGGGAGGCAGCAGUGGGGAAUAGUGCACAAUGGGCUGAAGCCUGAUGCAGCAACGCCGCGUGCGGGAUGACGGCCUUCGGGUUGUAAACCGCUUUCGCCUGUGACGAAGCGUGAGUGACGGUAAUGGGUAAAGAAGCACCGGCUAACUACGUG